CUUAGAAGAUGGAGAAACAGAGAACAAUGAACAAACAGAGUCUGCAUCAGUUGUGUGAAUGUCCAAUGUAGUAUUGCAGGUACAGCUGUACAUGAUUCAACCGUUCUGAGAACAAGCAGAGAGAAAUAAAAAAGAAUCUUUUACAGCAACAGAUACAGUCACUGUUGUAAAAGGCGCCACCUUUGUGAGCGAGGACAACAAGGCAUUGAAUCAGUUACACUCUGCUGAAAGAGACAGCGACGUCACCAAGAUGAAGUCCACGCUUCCUUUUGGAUUGUCUAUAGACUCCAGAGACGGAACAGGCAGAAAGCAGCGAAUGAAAGUUGUGUUGGAUGGCAUCGUUCAAGCGCUCAACUCUAGAAUGAAAACAAGUUUCAGCAGCCCCCUCCCUCCCCCCCCUCCCCAACUUCCUUUACUAAUUGCACGAUUAAAUGGAGCCCACCCUUGAAUCCAAUCCACCCCUAUUCACCUCCUAAGAGUCAUUUUUAUCCACACCCUAAGUCAACUGUUUUGCUUUUACUUACCUAUCUCUCACUCUGGCAAGACAUGUUAUCUGAACUAAGGAAGACAACUUUGUUUUGAUACUCAUUGCAUAAGGCUGUAUUUUAUUUACCAUUUGAAAUUUGUUAGAAAAGAUGAUCAACAAUGCUCGGCAAUCCAAAAGCACUUAAAUAUCACGCUCUAUCGUUGCAUAACGCAAUGCCCAUUAAAAUGAUGUAUUGGGUAAUUGUCUCACCUGUGACAAGUUUGUCUGAUUAUGAUCUUUCUA